rnacentral:rRNA from 1 species
GAUGAACGCUGGCGGCGUGCCUAAUACAUGCAAGUCGAGCGAACGGACGAGAAGCUUGCUUCUCUGAUGUUAGCGGCGGACGGGUGAGUAACACGUGGAUAACCUACCUAUAAGACUGGGAUAACUUCGGGAAACCGUAGCUAAUACCGGAUAAUAUUUUGAACCGCAUGGUUCAAAAGUGAAAGACGGUCUUGCUGUCACUUAUAGAUGGAUCCGCGCUGCAUUAGCUAGUUGGUAAGGUAACGGCUUACCAAGGCAACGAUGCAUAGCCGACCUGAGAGGGUGAUCGGCCACACUGGAACUGAGACACGGUCCAGACUCCUACGGGAGGCAGCAGUAGGGAAUCUUGCGCAAUGGGCGAAAGCCUGACGGAGCAACGCCGCGUGAGUGAUGAAGGUCUUCGGAUCGUAAAAUUCUGUUAUUAGGGAAGAACAUAUGUGUAAGUAACUGUGCACAUCUUGACGGUACCUAAUCAGAAAGCCACGGCUAACUACGUG